GAUCCAUUCCUGACCAUAUUUACUUGCACCAUGUUGAAGAUUCCUUGUAAACAUUUCUUCAUUAAUAAAUCGUUUUUUCCGGGACUUGAAACCUGGAUUUCCUGUAAUCUGCAAAAAAGUUACAUAGUCUGGGGUUCGAAGCCUUUAAACCUUAACUAAUAGGCUAUAGUGCUUCCACGAUCGAGUUAUUAUUAAUAAAGAUUUAUUGGAACCAGUACGUAUGAACAAUUUAAAUAUCGCUUUGGUUUAGUUUUGGUAUUUUAGGUAUCAGGUUGUUAGGAUAAAUGAUUAAAGGAUCCAUCCAUUUAUUACCGAACUUAUUUUUGGUAGUUUCGAAUACAUAGCCGCUGGGUGAUUUUAGGUUAGAAGCUCAUGUAGCUUAACAUGAUAUAUAGCCCGAUCCAUGCAGUCCAAUAUGAUCUAUCGAUUUGGUCCAGUGUUGGCCUAUCGAUCAUUGCCAUAAUAUUUUGAGAUUAAUGCUUAAAGAGCGUAUUAGACACAAAGUAUUCAACAUCAGUAGUUAAAAAGGAUCUUAAACAAUAUAUAAGAUAGAUUGGUCAAUCUACUUAUCACCAAUUAGUUUUAGGUUGGAAGCCCAUCUAACUUAACAACCGGUUGGAAACGAACUUCGGAUAGUUUCGGAUUCAGUUCGGUUCGGAUAGUAAAACUAACAACAAAAAAACACCCAAAAUUUUGGGCUCUCAUUUGAUUAUGGUAACAAAUAAGUUAUUUCAGGUAAUUUGGAUAAUUAAGGUUAAAUAUCUGGUAUAUUAGGUAAAAUAAUAAAAGAAAAAAUUGCUAAAAGAGAACAAAAAAACAAGGUUGUUGUCCCCUUGGUAUAAGCCCAACAUAAAGUUGUCUCAAUAGUAUAUUUUUUCUCAUAAUCCCAAAACCAACCCUAUAUUUAAUCUAAUUAAACAUAAUUUAAAAGUUAAUUUGAAUUAAAAAAAAAGUUAAUGGAAAAAAGAAAAAAAACAGUUGAAAGGCAAUCCAACAAAAAGAGGUAUAUAUAUGCAUCAUAGAGAACUAGAGAACAAGAGUUUGUGGAAAAAAUCAAAAGAAAAACUAUGGAAAAACCAUAGAUUGAUGAAGAAGAGAAGAGAGAAUUGUUUUUUUUUUUAAUUUUUUUUCAAGUAAAAUCGACCAUAACACGUUUUAGGAAGUUAGAGUAUUUCUAGGAGAUUUUUAGAAUAUUUUCUUAACUGAAAUUUCAUUAAUUUUUGCAAAAAAAAAUUAGGUAUUCUUAUCCGUAGAAGGCGACUUCUAAAAGUUUAGAAGAAUGAUAAAAAUUCUGAAUACACUUUCUACUUUGAGUAGACGUAAGAGUACAUUGUAGAAAACACAUUCCCUGAAAUUUAGAAUACUUUAUAAAAGUAGAAGAUGCAUUCAGAAGAAAAGUGGAUACUUUUACGAUUAGUAGAAUGCACAUUCCUCUUUUUUAGAAAUUUAGUAAAUAGUAAAAUGGGUUUUCUAAAAGAAGUAGAUGAACAUGUUGAUUUUAGAAAUUGUUUUCUACUAUACCAUUUUCGUAGAAGACACAUUCAACUUUUAGUAGAACGUAUUUUAAAAAUCUUAUUUUACCAAGUUUUUGAACAAAAGAAAAUUACCAGCUUGUGUAUAUGGAUGUUUUAUUAAUUGUUUAUAUUUUUAAUAAUUUUUUGAUUCACAAAAUAAUUUAUUUCAUUAGUUUUCAGAAAUACAAAGGGUAAAAAGGAAAAAAAAAUGGAUAAAAUUGAUUUUAUACCAAAGGGACAACAAUCUGAUUUUUUUGUUCUUUUUUGGCAAUUUUCCCAAUAUAAAAUAAGUAGGAUUAUUCUGAUAAAAAUCUUGGAUAUUUCAAAUAAAAAUAUCAAGAUACUUUCAUAUAUUUUUGGUAGUUUGGAUAUUUUGUAAUAAUUUAGUUUUAAAAAAUAUUUUUUUAUUAAAUUAUAAAUAUAUAUUUUGUUAUGUUAUAUGAAUAUAUAACUAAUAUUUUUAUAUAUUCAGAUACCAGUUUGGUUCUCGGUCCAGUUAUUUCAGAUACACAAAUAUAAAAACUAUUUGAAUAUUUUGGUCUACCUCUAGUUUGGAUCUUUGGUUCCGAUAUUUUUGUCCAAGCCUAAGGAACCACAUAUCAUUGAUUUGUGUAGGGCAUUGGGAAAUUAGGCCAAGUAUACACAACUAAAACUACAAUUUACUAACUAACCAAAACCUUCUCUUUCUCCUACUUUAUCUUCCUAUCUCUCUUUACCUUCUCAGCACAAAUCUAAAUCUCUUUUUUUUUAUUGGUUAUUUGGCAAAUAAACCUUUCAAAUUUUCGGUUACUUUAUUAUUUGUUUUUUUUGUUUAAAUGUUGUUGGACUGACCGAACUAUAUUUCAAUUCGUUUUAGGUAUUACUUGUGUUCUAAUCUGAACCAAUUUCUAUACAGAUUUCAAAUUCAAUUUCAGAAAAUUGGGUUUCUUUAGUGUAUCUGAUUGCUAUUUGUUGAACUAAUUGCUUGCCAAACCAAACCGAACUGAGAAUCGGUCGGUUCUUAGCCACAAACCAGAUACGAAACCAAAGCUAAAAAAGCUCGGUUCAAUUGGUUUGGUUUACUUUGGUUGUCGCUAAAUGCCCAUGGCUAUUCUCGUGUGCUACAAGAAAUAAAUUAGCUGUGGAAGCACCGUAGCCUAUUGGUUAAGGUUUAAAGGCUUCUACACCCAAGUCUGGAGUUCGAAUACCAGACUAUGCAAUUUAUUGCAGAUUACAGGAAAUCCAGGUUUCAAGUCCCGGAGAGAGCGGUUUAUUUAACAAUUAUGCAGACUACAAAGGAAAGGCUUGCAAGGGAUCUUCAACAUGGUGCAAGUAAAUCUGGCCAGACGUGGAUCUUCAUAGGACGGCUCGGAUGAUGCAGUUAGGCGUAGGUCAUCGUAAGGCAGGUAGUAUUGUCGGUUGUUGAAUCGUCUAUGUAACAUUUUUCAUUAAGUUUUACGGCUGACAUAAAUCACCAAAAUCAAAUAGGCAGCAUCGAUUGUAUAAUGAAAAAAUGGAAUUAAGUUUCUAUUCUCGAUUUGUUUACUAUUGACUCUCCAUAAGUGAUUUUAUUUUCUACCUCUAUAAAAUUAUGCUUUAGUUCUCGUCUUUGUUUUACUGAUAUGAGUUAAGUUUCCUUUUUAACUUCUUCUAUGAAUUCGGUGAAUUACAUAAGUGUCAAAUUUAUAAAAAAAAAGGACAUCUGUAAAAAUUAGUUUCACUCGAGAUACAUAUCUAAGAAUCAAAAUUUUUAAAAAAAUUCACCGGCAAACUAUAUUAACAGGUUAGUGUUCAAAUCAGCUGUUAUAGAAUAUAAAUAAAUAUUCGAAAUAUAAAUAUCUGUCUACUAUAUAUUCACCAGCUCGGUCUAAAAUCAUAUAAUUCUUGAAAAACAAAAAAAAAAUACUAAUUUUACCAGUUCGGAUAAUAUUUGAAUCCGAAGGGGCAAUAUAUUCGAACCCGAAUGGAUAUCCGAAGAUAACCAAACUUAAAUAUACUUAAUCCUAUAUUUCUAGUUUACUUUUCUUAUUUUAUUCAAAAAAAUUAUAUUAAUGAUGCUUAUUGCUCAAAAUUAGAUAAUAUACUUAUAAUUAUGAAAAAAAUCAUUUGCUACUCACUUAAAGCACAUAUCAAGCUCGUGUUUUUUGCAUUAACAAAAAUUGCAUCUAGAAUUUCAAAACAAUAACUAAAUUUGUGUCUUUCUAUUUUUAAAGUAUUAUCUCCAAACCUAUUAAUAGUUUAAUCUUUUAAAAAUUAGAAAACCAGUUAAGUUAAAAUAUAUUUUAAAUACAAAAAACUUAAACAAUGAAUACUUUAUUUAUUUUUUCUUCAAAAUUUAAAUAUCUGAACCCGACUCAAAAUAUCCGAAUAAAAUACAUGAACCCAACUCAAUGUGUAGAAAUACUCGAACGGGUUCUAUACCUUUAUACUGAAAUACCCGAUACGACCCCGAACGUGUGUCGGAAUGCCCACCCCUAUGAUAUAUGAUCAUUUGUAUCUGGCUUGAACAAAAAAACGUUAAACCAUUGAUCACAAAGUUUUCAAUGUUAGACUUUCACCUUUUUUUUGUAAUUUAUAGCCGUUUUAAAAAAUUCAAAAAUAUAACAUAUAAGAAAAAAUCUAAACAGUUUUAUUAUGUGCUAAGUGUGAUUUUUUAUUUUCUUUUAAUUGUAUAAAAUUAAACAAAAAAGAGAGAGGUUAGAAAAAUUAUUAUCAAAUAUGUAUUAUUCAUAAUCAUUAAUUAUCAUAUAUAUGUUAAUCAUAUUAGGUAAUUCCAUAGCUUUUAUUUAAAGAAAUAAAAAAUAUUAUUUUGUACACCACUAAUUAAUUUGGUAGUUAGUUUAAUUAAAAGCAUAGUAUAUGUUUAUGUGGACCAACUUAUUUUUCUAACAAUUCUAAAAAUCAUUCUCGUUAUGACACGUGGCUACGAAAACAUGUUGUAAUACUCCAUGAUUAAUAUAUAGGGGAUAUGUAUAGUUGUAGUUUGCUAUAAUGUUCUUAUCAUAUUUCUUUUCCUUGAAGACUUUUAACUCUUAAACAAAAAUUACAAAAGACCUGUUCGUUUGUUGACUAGCAAUAACGAUUGAACCAACGACUAAUCGUAGUGACCAAUCACAGUGACCCAUUGAUCAUAAUUUUAAAUCGCUAAAUUUUAUAGCCGCGGAUUUAAAAUCGUCACAAAAUUUUCAGCUACAGAUUUAAAAUACUUAUUGAGAGUAAACAAUUUCACUGUGUAAUGCGACUACAUUCUAAAUCUCGGUUGUGAAACCUUUAUGCCCUUCUCUAGCAUUGAAUGCUGAGCUUGCAUAUUACCGAGCAGCGGCUUCAAUUUAGGAUUUUGGAAGCAUACAUACUUUAGUUUUUUUAAAGUAUAAUAUAACAUGGAUUUGUAUCGGUUGAGCUUCCCAUAUGCUGAAACAUGUUAUAAUUAAAAGUAGAAACAAUAAAGACAAUAACUUGAACAAAGAGACGAAGACAACUCGCUAUUUCAUUUCUCGAAACUUUAAGUUCACGAAUUAUACAAGCAGGGACGAAGCCAGAAUUUUUUUUCAAAAGGUGCACAUCUGUUAAAAAAUAAAAUAUAUGCUUACACGAGUUCGAACUCGCAACAUCGUGGGUGCACAAUAGCACUACAACCGUCUCUCCUAGCUUGUUUUUGUAUAAUUUCACAUUCUAAAUACAUAAUAUCAACAAAAUUACGGAUGCACGUGCCCACUCUCUUCAUGCACUGGCUUCGCCACUGUAUACAAAUAGUAUGUUUAUAUAGUAGAUGAUCAAAACCCUAAGAGCAUCUCCAAUCCCACUCUAUUUUUCAUUCUAAAAUAGAGUUUAGAGUAAAAAAUGCUCUAAUAGUACUUUAUUUCUCACUCUAUAAUAGAGUGAAAAAUAGGUUUACUUCAAAUAUAGAAUAAUUUUUUUUUUUUUUAUCAUUCUAUUUUUUACUCUAAAAUAGAAUAUUAUUAGAAUAAAUUCAAACUCUAUUAUAGAAUUACUCUAUUUUAGAAUAAAAAAAUAGAGUAAACCAUUGAAGAUGGUCUAAGUAACAUGACUUCUCAAACUUUAGUUCACACGCACACACUUGAUCCAAGAACGUCAAAAUUUUUGUGGAGCGUGGGAGUAUGAGCUGUCUCGUACGAGCAUUGCUUUUCUGCAUUGGAUGCUCUGUUUCUUGUCUCAUCUGCAGAAAUCUCCAUUAACUCUUCUUCAGUUGUAAUGGGCUUUUUGUCUUGCUGCAUGCCCAAGUCUGAAUCUGUCUUGAGUCCACUUUAGGCUUGUUGUCAAUACUCAUUGGUUUUUGUCUUUAGACAGAUUUUAAUGUUGUGAUUUGCUGACAUUCCCCCUUAAAAUUUUUGUGGGUGGUGACUGAUCCACACCAAGUUUGAAACUAAGCUCGACAAACGGCUAAAUUGGAAAGGACUUUGUAAAUAUAUCAGCCAACUGAUAGGCAGAAUAAACAUGAUGAACAAUCAAAGCUCCAAGCGCAACUCUUUCUCAAAAAUAGUGGAAACCAACAUCAAAAUGAUUAGAGCUUUUAUGGAGUUCAGGAUUUGCUGACAAAUAAAUGGCAGAGAGGUUGUCAGAAUAAGAUUUUAGAGGAGAUGUUUGAGAAAGACCGAUAUCACUGAGACGAUAACCAAGUCAAGUGAGUUCUGCUGUAGUCUCUGAUAAUUUUAUAUACUUCGCUUAUGUUGAACUACGAGACAUUGUAUCAUGUUUUUUAGCUGACCAAGAGAUGAUAUUCGAACCAACGAAUAUAUAGAAACCCCAGUAGAGCUUCUUGUCUCUUUGCAAUUUGCCAAAUCACUAUGACAAUAGGCUUGGAUUGUGAAAUCAGUGUGAAGUGAAAAAGAUACCAAAGUUAGUUGUACCUCAAAGAUAACAUAAAAUGCGCUUCAGAAGAUUAAAAUCAGAAACCCCUGUAGAAUGCAUCUUCUGGCAAUGUCCAGCCUUGUGAGGGUGAGAUAUUGAUGCUUGCCGGCUAAACUUUGAAAGUAAGUUGGAUAUGAGAAGAGUACUUCUUAAUCAGGAACCAGAUGGAGUUGAAGUGGCAUAGGACUGGGCAUGGAUGUACACUCAUACAUCCCAUCAAUAAAUAGAAGAUCCUUAGUGUAUUUUCCUGAUUAAGAAAGAGUCCAGACUCAUGAAAAGUUUCUUGAAUUUCCAAAAAAUAAUGCAGACGCCCUUUAUUUUCAUCUUGAACUGAUUAUUCAGAGCCUCAAAGAACUUAGAGAUAAGAGCCUUGUUGUUUCUUGUCAGAUCAUAUCAUUUACAUAUAUGAGCAGUAGACUGAUGUUGUCAUCCUGAUGAUAAAUAAAGAGAAGGAUCCAAUUUUCUGCAGAAAAAUAUGAAGGCCAGCAAGUAAUCACUGAAUUUGUUGAACCAUUAGAAGAUUGCUUGAGUCCAUUAUAUAGCUUUGUUUAUCUUGCAUACAUAGACUGGAUUGUCUUUAUCAAUGAAUCCUCGAGGCUGAUGCAUGUAGACAGUCUCUGUGAACUCACCAUGAAGAAAAUCAGUGUAACAUCCAACUGCUUUAUAUCCCACUGAAAAGAAAUAGCAAUAUCAAGAACCAAUAUUACUGUGGCUGUUUAACAACAGGGCUAUAGGUUUCCAUGUAGUUAAUGCCCUCUUCAUGAUCAAUAACCAUUUGCUACCAGACGUGCUUUUAGAUUUUUCAAUGUCCCACCAACAUUUAAAUUGGUUGGUUGUACCCAACCAUUUACAACCAAUAAUAUUCAUAUUAGGUUGAUAAGGUACCAAGGUAAACAUGUCUGUUUCUUUGAAGGAAUCAAUCACUUUUUUUCAUUUAUGCUGUCCAACUAGGGUGUUUGAGAGAAGCACUCACUGUCUUUGGUGCAAGUGGAGUAGAUUGGAUUGUAAGAAGAGCAUAGCGCUUGUAGCUGGUGGAGAACCUACAACUGAAGAGUAUGUGAGCCGAAAUAAAGUUGCUAUCAUCAGAGACACUUUGAUCUACAUUCAAGAUAAUCUACAUUCAAGCUGAUUAUCAUUUAGGCAAGUAGCUUGUGUGUAUUCUUUUUUCCUUGAUUGGUUGUUUUCCAAUCAAGGUUUUUAAUGAGGCCACAAGUUGCUUCUCUUACCUCCUAGAUGAUUGAUCUCGGUGUGUCCACAUGAAGACCUUAUGAUAUAUAUUUUUAUCUAAGUUUUUGAGUCAAACAUUAGUCUUGCUUGAGGACAAGCAAAAUGAUAAGUCUGGGGGAGUUGAUAUACCAUGAAUUUGACCCAUUUUCAUCCAUGAUAUAUAAGUGUUUUACUAUCUAUAUACUAUAUAUUAUAUCCUAUUAGGUAUGUUUUCAGGUUCAGAAGUAUCUUGAAGUAAAGUGAUGAUUAUGGAGCAUUUAGGAGCUUAAAAGAGAUUUCAUCCGAACUGACCAUCAGAGGUCGAUACGAAGAAGAAGAAAUCGAUCGAUGUACAUCAUUUACCAUCGAUCGAUGUCGAGACGUGGAACGCACGACUUGGUUCCAGCCGACUUUAAACCCAAGGCUUUACCAAAUUACAAGAUUACCCCUGACGAGUUUUUAACCUAAUAGUUAUAUACUUGCCUAAGUGUUAGGAGGCAAGGGAGAGUUUUUUAGAGAGUUUCAGCCACCAUUGUAUUCUUACUUUCAGAGGAGAGAAGAUCAUAGAGAGAUUUGUGA